GUAAGUCCUAGAUCUAUCUUCC
rnacentral:miRNA from 1 species